GAAAGUAAGCAAGGGCAGACGGUGGAUGCCUUGGCUCUCGGAGGCGAUGAAGGACGUGAUAAGCUGCGAAAAGCCCGGGGGAGGCGCAAAUAGCCGUUGAUCCCGGGAUAUCCGAAUGGGGCAACCCGGCAGGCUGAAGGCCUGUCAUCCCGAAAGGGAGGCGAACGUGGGGAACUGAAACAUCUAAGUACCCAUAGGAGGAGAAAAUAAACAAUGAUUCCGUAAGUAGUGGCGAGCGAACACGGAAGAGCCCAAACCCAUGUCGUCUAGGCGACACGGGGGUUGUAGGACCACGACGUGGCAAGAAGGAAGGGAAAUGGAACGCCUUGGAAAAGUCGGCCAUAGACGGUGAAAGCCCGGUACAUGACUCCCUUACGAAGCCUAGUGGUAUCCUGAGUAGCGCGGGGCACGAGAAAUCUUGCGUGAAGCAGCGGGGCCCAUCCCGUAAGGCUAAAUACUCCCGAGAGACCGAUAGCGAACCAGUACCGUGAGGGAAAGGUGAAAAGAACCCCGAGCAGGGGAGUGAAAUAGACCCUGAACCCGUCUGCCUACAAGCGGUCGGAGCGUCGUAAUGACGUGACGGCGUGCCUUUUGCAUAAUGAACCUACGAGUUACCUUCCCCGGCAAGGUUAAGUUCUUGAGGAACGGAGCCGAAGCGAAAGCGAGUCUGAACAGGGCGCCAAGUCGGGGGGGGUAGACGCGAAACCGAGUGAUCUACCCUUGGCCAGGUUGAAGGUUGGGUAACACCAACUGGAGGACCGGAUGGGUAAGCGUUGAAAAGCUUUCCAAUGAGCUGAGGGUAGGGGUGAAAGGCUAAUCAAACUCGGAGAUAGCUCGUACUCCCCGAAAUGCAUUUAGGUGCAGCCUCUUUAUAGUAUAUCGUGAGGUAGAGCGACUGAUUGGAUGCGAGGGCUUCACCGCCUAUCAAGUCCAGAUAAACUCCGAAUGCGCGAUAUAUAUUUACAGGGAGUGAGGGCGCGGGUGCUAAGGUCCGUGUCCGAGAGGAGAAGAAUCCAGACCACCGGCUAAGGCCCCCAAAUGAUCGUUAAGUUGAACUAACGAGGUCGGAUCGCAGAGACAGCUAGGAUGUUGGCUUGGAAGCAGCCAUUCAUUUAAAGAGUGCGUAACAGCUCACUAGUCGAGCGAUCUGGCGUGGAUAAUAAUCGGGCAUAAACGAUCUGCCGAAGCCGUGGAUGUCGCAAGACAUGGUAGGGGAGCAUUCCAUGCCGCGUCGAAGAUGAGGGAUGACCCUUGUUGGAGCGCAUGGAAAAGCAAAUGUAGGUAUGAGUAACGAUAAGGGGGGCGAGAAACCCCCCCGCCGAAAGACCAAGGUUUCCUGAUCAACGCUAAUCGGAUCAGGGUGAGUCGGGACCUAAGGCAAAGCCGAACGGCGCCGCCGAUGGAAGAAUGGGUUAAUAUUCCCAUACUGCCUCAUGGAGUGACGUGGAGACGGAGAAGUGACAGUCCUGCCGGCUGACGGAAUAGCCGGUUGAAGGGUGUAGAUAUUGAUUCCCGUAGGCAAAUCCGCGGGGAGAGUCGAACCUGAGAGUAUACGGAGCGCUUGCGCAACGUAAUAUGGACGUAACCAUGCUCCCGAGAAAAUCCGCUAAACUUAUCCAUGCGGCACCCGUACCGUAAACGGACACACGUGGUCGGGUUGAGAAUACUGAGGCGCUCGAGUGAUUCACGGUUAAGGAACUAGGCAAAUUGACCCUGUAACUUCGGGAUAAAGGGUCCUCGUCGUAAGGCGAGGCGCAGAGAAUAGGUCCAGGCAACUGUUUAACAAAAACACAUGGCUGUGCUAAAUGGAAACAUGAUGUAUACAGCCUGACACCUGCCCGGUGCCGGAAGGUUAAGAGGAGAUGUCAUCCGCGAGGAGAAGCGUUGAAUUGAAGCCCCGGUAAACGGCGGCCGUAACUAUAACGGUCCUAAGGUAGCGAAAUUCCUUGUCGGGUAAGUUCCGACCUGC
rnacentral:rRNA from 1 species